rnacentral:rRNA from 1 species
AGAGUUUGAUCCUGGCUCAGGAUGAACGCUGGCGGUAUGCCUUAUACAUGCAAGUCGUACGAGAGUUUUUAACUCUAGUGGCGGACGGGUGAGUAACACGUAGGAAUUUGCCUUUAGGAGGGGGACAACAACUGGAAACGGUUGCUAAUACCCCAUAUGCUUUCGAGUGAAAUGGAUUUCCGCCUAAAGAGAAGCUUGCGGCUGAUUAGCUUGUUGGUAGGGUAAUGGCCUACCAAGGCGACGAUCAGUAUCUGGUUUGAGAGGACGAUCAGACACACUGGAACUGAGACACGGUCCAGACUCCUACGGGAGGCAGCAGUAGGGAAUUUUCCGCAAUGGGCGAAAGCCUGACGGAGCAAUACCGCGUGAGGGAUGACUGCCUAUGGGUUGUAAACCUCUUUUUUCAGGGAGGAAUAAAUGACGUGUACCUGAAGAAUAAGCAUCGGCUAACUCCGUGCCAGCAGCCGCGGUAAGACGGAGGAUGCAAGUGUUAUCCGGAAUCACUGGGCGUAAAGCGUCUGUAGGUGGCUCGACAAGUCAACUGUUAAAUCUUGAAGCUCAACUUCGAAAUCGCAGUCGAAACUAUCGAACUAGAGUAUAGUAGAGGUAAAGGGAAUUUCCAGUGGAGCGGUGAAAUGCGUAGAGAUUGGAAAGAACACCGAUGGCGAAGGCACUUUACUGGGCUAUUACUGACACUCAGAGACGAAAGCUAGGGUAGCAAAUGGGAUUAGAUACCCCAGUAGUCCUAGCCGUAAACAAUGGAUACUAGGUGUUGAACAGAUCGACCUGUGCAGUACCAAAGCUAACGCGUUAAGUAUCCCGCCUGGGAAGUAUGCACGCAAGUGUGAAACUCA